AAACCAACAGGGAUUGCUUUAGUAACGGCGAGUGAAGCGGCAAAAGCUCAAAUUUGAAAUCUGGCACCUUCGGUGUCCGAGUUGUAAUUUGAAGAAGGUAACUUUGGAGUUGGCUCUUGUCUAUGUUCCUUGGAACAGGACGUCACAGAGGGUGAGAAUCCCGUGCGAUGAGAUGCCCAAUUCUAUGUAAAGUGCUUUCGAAGAGUCGAGUUGUUUGGGAAUGCAGCUCUAAGUGGGUGGUAAAUUCCAUCUAAAGCUAAAUAUUGGCGAGAGACCGAUAGCGAACAAGUACAGUGAUGGAAAGAUGAAAAGAACUUUGAAAAGAGAGUGAAAAAGUACGUGAAAUUGUUGAAAGGGAAGGGCUUGAGAUCAGACUUGGUAUUUUGCGAUCCUUUCCUUCUUGGUUGGGUUCCUCGCAGCUUACUGGGCCAGCAUCGGUUUGGAUGGUAGGAUAAUGACUAAGGAAUGUGGCUCUACUUCGGUGGAGUGUUAUAGCCU
rnacentral:rRNA from 1 species